rnacentral:rRNA from 1 species
AAGAGAUCUGACAUUACUUGAGGAAUAAGCAUCGGCUAACCCUGUGCCAGCAGCCGCGGUAAUACAGGGGAUGCAAGUGUUAUUCGGAAUCAUUGGGCGUAAAGCGUUUGUAGGUGGACCUGUAAGUCUUUUGUUAAAUCUUUGGGCUCAACCUAAAAUGCGCAAACGAAACUGCUUGUCUUGAGUCAGAUAGAGGUAAAGGGAAUUUCCAGUGGAGCGGUGAAAUGCGUAGAUAUUGGAAGGAACACCAGCGGCGAAGGCACUUUACUGGGUCUGUACUGACACUGAGAGACGAAAGCUAGGGGAGCAAACAGGAUUAGAUACCCUGGUAGUCCUAGCUGUAAACGAUGGGUAUUAGAUAUUGGCCAUUGGAUGGUCAGUGUCGAAGCUAACGCGUUAAAUACCCCGCCUGGGAAGUAUGCUCGCAAGGGUGAAACUCAAAGGAAUUGACGGGGGCCCGCACAAGCGGUGGAGCAUGUGGUUUAAUUCGAUGCAACACGAAGAACCUUACCAGGGCUUGACAUGAAGAGAAGUUUUUUGAAAGAAAAAUGUGCUACGGCCUCUUACACAGGUGGUGCAUGGCUGUCGUCAGCUCGUGUCGUGAGAUGUUGGGUUAAGUCCCGCAACGAGCGCAACCCUUGUUUCUAGUUAAGAUUCUAGAAAGACUGCCAAUUAUAAAUUGGAGGAAGGUGAGGAUAACGUCAAGUCAUCAUGCCCCUUAUGCCCUGGGCUACACACGUGCUACAAUGGAUAUGACAAAAAGGUGCAAGUUUGCGAAAAUGAGCAAGUCUCUAAACAUAUUCUUAGUUCGGAUUGCAGGCUGCAACUCGCCUGCAUGAAGGUGGAAUCGCUAGUAAUCGCAGGUCAGCUAUACUGCGGUGAAUCCGUUCCCGGGCCUUGUACACACCGCCCGUCACACCAUGGGAGCUGGUUACACUCUAAAACAUUCUCCUAACCAAUUUGGAGGGAAGUGGCUAAAGUGGGAUUGGUGACUAAGGUGAAGUCGUAACAAGGUAGCCGAAUCUCUGAAGAUCCGCGCACCCUCCC